rnacentral:rRNA from 1 species
UACAGAGGGGGCAAGCGUUUGUUCGGAAUUACUGGGCGUAAAGCGCGCGCAGGCGGCACUUUCAAGUAAGGUGUGAAAUCUCCCUGCUCAACGGGGAGGGUGCACUUUAGACUGGGGAGCUAGAGGACGGUAGAGGGGGGUGGAAUUGCUGGUGUAGCGGUGAAAUGCGUAGAGAUCAGGAGGAACACCCGUAGCGAAGGCGGCACUCUGGGCCGAUACUGACACUGAGGAGCGAAAGCGUGGGGAGCGAACAGG